rfam:Thalassobius mediterraneus strain CECT 8383 genome assembly, contig: 0006
UCCCCGUCACAACGGCUUCCUGACGUGGCGGGCAGACCUUAAUGGAGCA